AUAUCGCCAGUAAGUGAAGGAUUAAGGUGGACUAUAUUGCUCCAAAUGAAUAGUUCUAUGUUCUAAUGAUUUGGUGCACAUUGAAUUCAACCAAUUCAAUAACAUUGUAUACAACAUAAACAUUUUCUGCUUACAGCAAGCAGAUUGGAAAAACCUAAUUAAGAUAAAAAUUGAUGAAAAUAUUCAAAAUCUUCUUACAAUGGCUCGAUGUCUUCUUAACAAACUCCCCAUUGGCAGUUAUUUGUUGAGCAUUUUUUUUCCUAUUCUAAUGAAGUAAAAAUGAUCUACUUUGCCAGGGACAACCUAAUAAUAUUAGUUUUCUUCUGUCAGUUUGGAGUAUUUUGAUCAAAACAAGCUCUGUUUCAGCUGCUUUAAUUCCAGAAAGCCUUGAUGAAGUUUUGUUUGUUUGGUUGUUUUUUUGUUUUAAGUUGGAAAGAAGUUGGAAAGAAGUCUCAUGCAAUAUUUGUAAUUUUGCUUCCUCCAAAUAAGUAUUUUCCUGCAAGCCAAAGGUUUUAGACCUCCUGAGCCUCCUGGCCUAGUCAGUAUGGAGUUACCAUUACUUGUAACAGCCGCAGACUUUGUACCAAGUUAAUAACAUGGACUUCAAGCCUAUCUGAACCUGCAUGGACAGGAACAGAGUAAAUAAAGUGGGAAAUCAAGUUGUGCCUUUGAAAUCGACCUAUUAUAAUAUCAGCUUUUCAAUAAAGGAGUAAAUCUACAUUGUUGUACAGAGGCAUGAGGACAUAAUCUUGAUAGAAGCCAUAGAAGAAGCCAUAGAUAGAAGUCAUAAUGAUUCAAAGUUAAAAGAAUGAAACUUAUUCUUCUUCUUCAAUUUUUUUUUUUAUUUUAUCUUUUUUACAAUGUAAUUUAAGUUAAUAAAUAAAUAAAUAAAAAGGGAUUAAUUUCCCUUUAAUUCCCCUCCUGGAUGUCAGGGCAGAAAAUAACUAAGAGUAAAGUUAGAUUUAUGAUGCACUUGUGCACUUGUGUUUUGGGAGGUUAAAUAUUGGUUGAUCAACUUGUGCCUUUUCAGUGUCUUUGCUUUGCAUUGUUCCUAUUUGCACUCUUAGGGACAGU
rnacentral:lncRNA from 7 species